rnacentral:tRNA from 11 species
GCCCGGAUAGCUCAGUUGGUAGAGCAGGGGAUUGAAAAUCCCCGUGUCCUUGGUUCGAUUCCGAGUCCGGGCACCA